rnacentral:rRNA from 1 species
UGAACGCUAGCGGGAUGCCUUACACAUGCAAGUCGAACGGCAGCACGGACUUCGGUCUGGUGGCGAGUGGCGAACGGGUGAGUAAUGUAUCGGAACGUGCCCAGUAGCGGGGGAUAACUACGCGAAAGCGUAGCUAAUACCGCAUACGCCCUACGGGGGAAAGCAGGGGAUCGCAAGACCUUGCACUAUUGGAGCGGCCGAUAUCGGAUUAGCUAGUUGGUGGGGUAACGGCUCACCAAGGCGACGAUCCGUAGCUGGUUUGAGAGGACGACCAGCCACACUGGGACUGAGACACGGCCCAGACUCCUACGGGAGGCAGCAGUGGGGAAUUUUGGACAAUGGGGGAAACCCUGAUCCAGCCAUCCCGCGUGUGCGAUGAAGGCCUUCGGGUUGUAAAGCACUUUUGGCAGGAAAGAAACGUCAUGGGCUAAUACCCCGUGAAACUGACGGUACCUGCAGAAUAAGCACCGGCUAACUACGUGCCAGCAGCCGCGGUAAUACGUAGGGUGCAAGCGUUAAUCGGAAUUACUGGGCGUAAAGCGUGCGCAGGCGGUUCGGAAAGAAAGAUGUGAAAUCCCAGAGCUUAACUUUGGAACUGCAUUUUUAACUACCGGGCUAGAGUGUGUCAGAGGGAGGUGGAAUUCCGCGUGUAGCAGUGAAAUGCGUAGAUAUGCGGAGGAACACCGAUGGCGAAGGCAGCCUCCUGGGAUAACACUGACGCUCAUGCACGAAAGCGUGGGGAGCAAACAGGAUUAGAUANCCUGGUAGUCCACGCCCUAAACGAUGUCAACUAGCUGUUGGGGCCUUCGGGCCUUGGUAGCGCAGCUAACGCGUGA